rnacentral:lncRNA from 1 species
CAUUUUAGUGUUGUGUGUCUGGUGUGUCGUAGUUCUCCUCCUAAUUUUGAUGUGUUUCCCUCAGUUUUAGUUUGUAACCUGGAUUUGUUUUUUUUUGUAAUCGGUUGAUGAAUUUCGAACAGCGGUAUACUACUGUUGCCUUUUUUACACUUCCGAUGCACUUAAGAUUAGUGUUUAGUGUGGUUCUUGUUGCUUAGUCUUAAGGUUUCUAUUGUGUGUGUAUCGUACUAUUGCUUGUCUGUCUUUUUCUCUUGUAUCCAAGAAGUUUUCAGUUUGUUUUCGAUAUAUGAUUUUGAAUAUUCCAGUGGUAUCUUUCGACCCUGUUUUUUUUUAAGAACUAAAAUAUCAAUAAUGAUAUAGUUCAUCAGUGAAGAUAAUAUUACAAUAUAGAAUAUAAAUGUAUCUUUUAUUUCAUAAUAAAAACAUUGCAGAAGCAAUUUGCA